GACGUAGGGGCGAGCGUUGUCCGGAAUUACUGGGCGUAAAGAGCACGUAGGCGGGAACCUAAGUCAGGUGUGAAAGACCGUGGCUCAACCACGGGGUGGCAUUUGAAACUGGGUUUCUUGAGGGUGAGAGAGGAAAGUGGAAUUCCUAGUGUAGCGGUGAAAUGCGUAGAUAUUAGGAGGAACACCAGUGGCGAAGGCGACUUUCUGGCUCAUACCUGACGCUGAGGCGCGAAAGCGUGGGGAGCAAACAGGAUUAGAUACCCGCGUAGUCCCUGAGCGGG
rnacentral:rRNA from 1 species